AGUUGAGGCGAAGAAGUGAAAUUUGCACAGUCUGGAAAAUAAUUCGAGGUUAGUAUAAACGUUAAUACAUGUGAUGUCUCAGUUAGGUAAGCCAUAAUAACCAUCUAAUUUCGGCUUUCAGGGGACUAUCCAUGCUCGGCCUUUGUAAACAGUAGUUCGGGCACAGAAAAAAAUGGUAUACGGGCAGGGCAAACAAGACAUGAAUUGUAUAUAGCGCAUUUCAUCUUGGUUAUGCGAUUACAUCGAGUAUUGCGCUUACUUGUAUUACCUUCUUAGACUUAGCUUAGACUAUUUAUAUCUUUACAACAAUUGUGAUAGUACUUUGUUAACUGUAAAGUAAAAAGCAAAUUCCGAAAAUACAGGACAUCUUGAGAAUUCAAUAUAUAAUUUAAAACAAGACGCAGUUUGAUCCGAUGGCGUUGUUCAUUUUUUAGACAUAAAAGUCUCGGUUGAUGGUACUGACAUUUAUCGUAAGGACACCCACACCGGUCAGUAUUCACAUUUUUCAAGUUUUGAGCCUUUUCAUCGCCAAACUGCAUGGGUAAAAUCUCUGUUCUACCGGGCUUUUAAAAUUUGCAGUUCAAAAACACUUUUCAACAAUCAAAUUGAAACCAUAAAAUCUUUUAUGUCUUAAUGGAAUGGUUAUCCUAAUGGCGUUAGAAACUAUUUGAUUAAAAAGCUUAAAACCAAAUAUAUUGAUAAUUCUAGUUCCGAU